rnacentral:rRNA from 1 species
UACGUAGGGGGCAAGCGUUGUCCGGAAUUAUUGGGCGUAAAGAGCGCGUAGGCGGUCCGAUAAGUCGGCUGUGAAAGUCAGGGGCUCAACCCUUGGAAGCCGGCCGAUACUGUCGGACUAGAGUCCGGAAGAGGCGAGUGGAAUUCCCGGUGUAGCGGUGAAAUGCGUAGAGAUCCGGAGGAACACCGAAGGCGAAGGCAGUGUCCUGGCUGGUGACUGACGCUGAGGUGCGAAAGCUAGGGGAGCGAACGGG